CUAUGUAUCAAAUUUUGGAACUUGAUGAUGUGGCCCUUUGUUGGUUGACUUUUGUUGUUUAGGCUUAAUGCCAGGAUAUUGUUGGAGAUUUACAUCGUUGUGGUUGUUAUUGAAAUGCAAAACUUUCCGCUGCAUUAUUUUGAAGUUAUGACUGAUGUUGAAUUAAAUAGUUUUAUUUUUUAUUUAAGAAUUUUGAAUUUGCAAUGUAGCAUGCCCGUUUGGUGAAAUACUCUGAUGUUUAUAUGCUAUUUUAUUGCUUUUGGGUAACGGGGUGUUACA
rnacentral:lncRNA from 1 species